UACAGAGGUGGCAAGCGUUGUUCGGAAUUACUGGGCGUAAAGGGCGCGUAGGUGGCCUUCUUAGUCAGACGUGAAAGCCCCGGGCUUAACUCGGGAACUGCGUCUGAUACUGGAAGGCUGGAGUUCGGGAGAGGAAUGUGGAAUUCCAGGUGUAGCGGUGAAAUGCGUAGAUAUCUGGAGGAACACCGGUGGCGAAGGCGGCAUUCUGGACCGAAACUGACGCUGAGGCGCGAAAGCCAGGGGAGCAAACGGG
rnacentral:rRNA from 1 species